rnacentral:rRNA from 1 species
UUGAACGCUGGCGGCAGGCCUAACACCUGCAAGUCGAGCGGAUGAAGGGAGCUUGCUCCUGGAUUCAGCGGCGGACGGGUGAGUAAUGCCUAGGAAUCUGCCUGGUAGUGGGGGAUAACGUCCGGAAACGGGCGCUAAUACCGCAUACGUCCUGAGGGAGAAAGUGGGGGAUCUUCGGACCUCACGCUAUCAGAUGAGCCUAGGUCGGAUUAGCUAGUUGGUGGGGUAAAGGCCUACCAAGGCGACGAUCCGUAACUGGUCUGAGAGGAUGAUCAGUCACACUGGAACUGAGACACGGCCCAGACUCCUACGGGAGGCAGCAGUGGGGAAUAUUGGACAAUGGGCGAAAGCCUGAUCCAGCCAUGCCGCGUGUGUGAAGAAGGUCUUCGGAUUGUAAAGCACUUUAAGUUGGGAGGAAGGGCAGUAAGUUAAUACCUUGCUGUUUUGACGUUACCAACAGAAUAAGCACCGGCUAACUUCGUG